GACACCAAACGGGAGCAGAGUCACCACAAAGGCCACAGCUCUGAGCACGGAGAAAGGUCUUCUUGAGACUUCCUCUGAAGCUCAGUGAAUGAUCUGUUCUCAGCGGUAAGGGAUUAAACAAAGGGCCAAUUGUCAAAAACCCCAGCCAGGGACCAGCCAAGCUUCCUGUGCAGCCAUGAGUGCCUGAGGCGGCCUUUUGUUCUGAGAGGACACCACAUAGCCUCCGCCUCCCCUGGAGUCAGAAAACCAGUCAAGCAGGAAAGCACUGUUGAGAACCUACUCUGUGGAAGGUGCUGGGGGAACACAGAGAGGAAGGCCACCCAGAGCCCAGAAAACAGAGGCAACCGGCCAGUGUUUGCCAAAUGAAGGCUGACGGAGCUGAAUGCUUUGGUGAGAGAGGAAGGAGAUUACGCAUGUGCAAAACAUGGCAUCCGCUUUAAUAAACAGCGAUUCCACAAGGUAGGUGGCACCCCGACUGACAAGGAAACUGAGGACCAGCAAAGAAACAAUCCAAGGUGUGAAGAGAAGGGACUGGAACCGGGACGAGCCCGAUUCCAACACUGCACCUCUUUCCACUCAGCCGCGGAGAGAGUACAAGCACAAAGAGAGAAGGAUGCCCCCAGAAAACUGACGUCCUCAGGAGGAGGCAAUGCUUUUCCCUAAGAGGAAGGAGCCCUGAGGGAGGAGAUGCAGACGUUCUUAGUGGGUCAAUGCCCUCCUGAGGUGGGGACCAAUCCAGACCACGGAAGGCAGCAAGCUGAGGCCUGGGCCCGGGACUCAGGAGAUGGAGAUUUGAGUCCUGGCACCACAGCGUACUAGUUCUGUGACCCUCAGAAGUCACUCACCCUUUCUGAGCCGUGGCUUCCUCAUCUGGAUAACAUGCUGCUUAACUCGAAGAAGAGUUGUCAGCUAAAAAAGAUUGACAUUAAUUUUGUUAAUUUGUGUUAACCUUUGGUAUAUGACAGAAUGGGCAAUAAAUAUUUGUUAAAUAAAGAUGAGUUUUAUUUCUGGAAAGCCAUCCUGUAUUUAGACUCAGAACAGACCGUGGACUUGGGAAGAUAUGGAAUAAAGGCAAUAAUUCAU
ensembl:lncRNA